CAUGGCGGACAAAAAAGAAAAGGAUAAAAUUGUCUUGAGUUUUCACGAUAGUUUACUGCAUAAUUCAGACGUAUUGCUUCUUAAUGAAGGGCANUGGUUGAACGACAAUCUUAUUGGGUUCAUGUUCGAGUACUUUGAAUAUGAACAAUUCAAAGGUGCUUCAGAAAAGNUCGUGUUUAUAAGUCCUGAUGUAACUCAGUUUAUUAAACUCGGGGAUGGUCCAGAAGUUGGGAUUUUCUUGGACCCACUAAAUUUACCAAAACACAAGCUAUUAUUCUUUGUAAUCAAUGACCAUGAAUCAAAAACCUCAACUGGUGGUUCACAUUGGAGUCUGUUGUGUUAUAACAGAGACAGGAAUUCAUUUAUCCAUUAUGAUUCAUUCCAUGGCAACAACAAUGAUGCAGCCAAGAGCAUUGCUAAGAAUAUUCAGCCUUAUUUAAGUGCAGUUGAUGUUCCAUCUUUUGUCAAUGGAAAAUGCCCUCAACAACAAAAUGGAUGUGACUGUGGCUUGUAUGUGAUUAGNAUCACAGAACAUCUAUGCAAGGAAUACCUUGGCCUAACAUCAACCCCUUUAACAGACACUGUCAAUGCUUCUUCAGUAUCUGAGAAAAGACAAUAUAUCAAAAAUUUGAUUCUUCAAUUAGUUUCAACCAAUAAAUAGCUUCAAAUGCAGAUCACUGCUUUGGCAGAAAAAAAGAAGAACUGUGCAUGAGAAAUUCUUUGUCAAGUCAAGGUAAAUGCUAGUUAGGUAAAAGAAGUUAAGGUCACACCACACCUGUUCAACUCAUGCCCAAGUAAUAACUACACUCACACAUCUAAUGAGCAGUAAGUUUAUGAUAACCAAAGCCAUNGAUUGAUUUUGUCUCUAGGCUUCAUUACAAUCGAGUUUUCUAAACUUCAGGUGCAUGAGCACCUGAUAUAAAAGACAACAAGUGAUUUCUGUUUGUAAGUAAGUAAGUGCAGCCAGGACUAAAGAAAGUGUUCGUAUUAGAGAGGUGUCCGUGUUCUAGAGGUAUGUUUGUAAGUGAAUAAGUGCAGCCAGGACCAAAGAAAGUGUUCGAAAUAGAGAGGUAGUGUCCGUGUUCUAGAGAUCUGUUUAUUGAGUAAAUAAGUGCAGCCAGGAUCAAAGAAAGUGUUCGUAAUAGAGAGGUAGUGUCCGGGUUCUAGAGAUCUGUUUGAUUUGUCCGUAUUAUAGAGGUCUGUUUGUAAGUGAAUAAGUGCAGCCAGGAUCAAAGAAAGUGUUCGUAAUAGAGAGGUAGUGUCCGGGUUCUAGAGAUCUGUUUGAUUUGUCCGUAUUAUAGAGGUCUGUUUGUAAGUGAAUAAGUGCAGCCAGGACCAAAGAAAGUCUUCGUAAUAGAGGGGUGUCCGUGUUCUAGAGAUCUGUUUGAGGUGUCCGUAUUAUAGAGGUCUGUUUGUAAGUGAAUAAGUGCAGACAGGACCAAAGAAAGUGUUCGUAAUAGAGAGGUGUCCGUAUUAUAGAGGUCUGUUUGUAAGUAAAUAAGUGCACCCAGGACCAAAGAAAGUGUUCGUAAUAGAGGUGUCCGUGUUAUAGAGGUCUGUUUGUAAAUGAAUAAGUGCAGCCAGGACCAAAGAAAGUGUUUGAAAUAGAGAGAUGUACGUGUCAUAGAAGUAUGUUUGUAAAUGAAUAAGUGCAGCCAGGACCAAAGAAAGUGUUUGAAAUAGAGAGAUGUCCGUGUUAUAGAAGUAUGUUUGUAAUUAAAAGAAAACUUUCAUUUCGAUCUGGUGUUGAAAGUGUGAACCCUAGUUGCAUGAGCUCGCAUAUAGAAUUGUACAUUUUUGCC
rnacentral:misc_RNA from 1 species